UACGAAGGGAGCUAGCGUUGUUCGGAAUCACUGGGCGUAAAGCGCACGUAGGCGGAUGUGUCAGUCAGGGGUGAAAUCCCGGAGCUCAACUUCGGAACUGCCUUUGAUACAGCACGUCUUGAGUCCGAUAGAGGUGGGUGGAAUUCCUAGUGUAGAGGUGAAAUUCGUAGAUAUUAGGAAGAACACCGGUGGCGAAGGCGGCCCACUGGAUCGGUACUGACGCUGAGGUGCGAAAGCGUGGGAGCAAACAGG
rnacentral:rRNA from 1 species